AUGUUAUUGUUAGGCCAAUCAAUAUCAUGCUUCUUGUUGGAAAUGUUUCGAACGGGCUUCUAGUGUUGUUUGUGGCAUAUGAAUAUUUGAUGGGAAACUUUGUACUUGGAUUAUCUUUUAAUUGCUGAAAAUAGAAAAAUUGAGUUUAUGUGGAUGAGAAAUUUGUUCUCUGAUGUGAAGUUUACUGAACUGGUGCAAGACUGGAGGCUCUAGUUAAUCACAUUGCUUCUGAGUGUUUUAUACUGUUGAGGAAUUUUAG
rnacentral:misc_RNA from 1 species